GCUGUAAACACUGUCUUUUCAGAGAAAAUGCAGUCUUUACAUUACAGCCUAGUGAUAACUUCACUGGCCACUCCUUGGAUGGCUGUUAGAGAUCAUUCCUGGGUCAUGGCUGCCUAUAGAGUUAACACUAUAGAGUCAGGAAUUCAUGUUUGUGUUCCUGACCCUAUAGUGAUUCUUUAAGGUAAUGCUGACUUUGGUCUCUCUAACACUGUGGCAUGUUCCCUUUCUUCUACACUCAAUACAUACAGCUUUUCUUUGUCCCAGACUAUAUACCAGGAGCAUCUGCCUGCUAGUAAGAAGGUAAGGAGACAAGUGGACCAGCGAGUGCUAGGGGACAGUCCUUUAGAAAGCGUUGAACGAGCCCAUCAUUAAAAGCAUUUAUGCCAAGCUCAGGGUGCUGUCUGCAUAGUAUGCCCUUAGUUGGCCAGCUGCAUGAUUGGCAG